UGUUUGUGCGCUUACGGCGUGGAUUCGGUGUGACACAAUUACAACUUUCUGCUUUGAAGUUUUUCUCUUUUUUUUCUAAUAUUAUUUCAAUGCUGUUUUAAUUUUACCUCUCCCAAAAGAAGGACUCCAGUAGGUGCAUGUUAGAGAGGAAGCAAGAGCUUGAAGGAUGUGAAAAAAUAAAAAGUCCACGGCAAUAAUAAAGAAAAGCAAAAAUAAAUUGCAAACAUUUUUUUUCAUCUCUGUCUAUAAGCCCAUGAAAUCCUGUGGAGUAUCAUUCGGUGAUGAGGAAAAGAAAAUGGCGGCGGGAAAACCGAGUGAAAUUGAGGAUGACUUUCCAACUCUGACGCCCCAGGAGAAAGACUCUAUUGCAACUCUCGAUAGCCGAGUGUUUGGAUUUCUGAAGGUUCAUGAAGAUGGCGCCAGAACGAAGGCCUUGUUAAAAAAGGCUAUUCACUGCUUUGAAUCAGUGAUCAAGAAGUGUGAGGGAAAAGUUGACCAUGACUUGUUUUGCCAGCUUGGUCAUUUCAACCUCUUGUUGGAGGAGUAUCCAAAAGCAUUAUCUGCAUACCAGAGGUACUACAGCGUACAGUCUGAUUACUGGAAGAAUGCUGCCUUUUUAUAUGGCCUUGGUCUUGUCUACUUCCAUUAUAAUGCAUUUCAGUGGGCAAUUAAAGCAUUUCAAGAAGUGCUUUAUAUUGAUCCCAGCUUCUCUCGGGCCAAUGAGAUUCACUUGCGUCUUGGGUUGAUGUUUAAGGUGAACACGGACUAUGAAUCAAGUCUUAAACAUUUUCAGUUGGCAUUGAUUGAUUCCAAUCCUUGCACUCUGUCCAAAGCAGAAAUUCAGUUCCAUGUUGCUCACUUGUAUGAAAUCCAGAGAAAGUAUCGUGCUGCAAAGGAAGCCUAUGAACAACUUUUGCAAACAGAGAAUCUUUCUGCACAAGUGAAAGCAAAUAUACUGCAGCAGCUCGGCUGGAUGCAUCACACAGUGGAGCCACUAGGAGACAAAACAACUAAGGAAAGUCUUGCUAUUCAAUGUCUCCAGAAAUCUCUAGAGGCAGACCCUAACUCUGGCCAGUCUUGGUACUUCCUUGGCAGGUGCUAUUCAAGCAUUGGCAAAGUUCAGGAUGCCUUCUUAUCAUACAGGCAUUCCAUUGAUAAAUCAGAAGCGAGCGCUGAUACAUGGUGUUCAAUAGGGGUGUUGUAUCAGCAACAGAACCAGCCAAUGGAUGCUUUACAGGCCUAUAUCUGUGCUGUUCAGCUAGACCAUGGACAUGCUGCAGCCUGGAUGGACCUGGGAACACUCUAUGAAUCCUGCAAUCAACCUCAGGAUGCAAUUAAAUGUUACAUAAAUGCAACCAGGAGCAAAAAUUGUAGUAAUAGUUCUGCACUCACAGCAAGGAUAAAGUACUUGCAGGCCCAGUUGUGCAACCUUCCACAAGGUAGCCUACAAAGUAAAACCAAAAUGCUUCCCAGUAUUGAGGAGGCAUGGAGCCUACCAAUCCCAGCAGAACUUACCUCCAGGCAGGGUGCCAUGAAUUCAGCUCAGCAGGCUUGUAAACUUCACCAUCACAGUAAUGAACCAUUAGUAGGCCUCAGUCAGCAGCCACAGCAGUCCUUACCACUACACAUGGUUCCUUCUAACCAAGUAGAUGAUCUAUCCAGUUCUGCUAAAAGGAAAAGGAUGUCCAGUCCUACUAAGCUAAAUGCUCCUGAUGUCUGGUCAGGUGGUCACACACCACACCAUCCAGUGCAACAACAGGUUCCAUCAUGGUACCUGACGUCUCAAAAAUUACAGUUUUUGGAACAGUUGCGUGCAAAUAGAAAGAACCUGAAUCAGCUUCAGCUUCAAAUGCUGGAACAGCUUGAGGGACAGUUUGCCUUGAUGCGACAGCACCAGCAGCAGAUGAGACAGGCAACAGUUGCACAGGUACGGCCUACAGGAAUUCCUAAUGGGCCAACGCUUGGAUCAUCACUGCCUACAAACUCUAUUUCUGGUCAGCAGCCUCAUGUCACUCUAACCAGAGUGCCUGAUCGUGGUGUUCAGUCUGGAAUCCGUCCUGUUCCUUCUGGACCGCUAAUGGCUAAUGGACCUUUUCCUGCUGAACCAUCUCGAGGUCCAGUAACAUGCAGCACUAUGGGAAUGCUGGGUAAUACAGACACUAUCUCUAUAGGCAAUAAUCAUGUAACAGGAAAUGGAAGCAAUGGAAAUGUGCCUUACCUGCAGCAAAACGCACUAACUCUACCUCAUAACCGCACAAACCUGACCAGCAGCGCAGAGGAGCCGUGGAAAAACCAACUUGUUAACUCCACUCAGGGGCUGAACAAAGGUCAGAGUUCACAUUCGGCAGGCCCUAAUGGUGAACGACCUCUCUCUUCCACUGGGCAUUCCCAGCAUUUCCAGGCAGCUGGCACUGGUAUUCAGAAUCAGGUUGGACAUCCUGCCAUGCCUAACAAUUCACUAACAACACAGGGGGCUGCUCUCAAUCACCUCUCCUCUUACACUGCUACCUCAGGUGGACAACAAGGCAUUACCUUAACCAAAGAGAGCAAGCCUUCAGAAACUGCAUCAACAGUGCCUGAGACGACCAGGCAUUCUGGAGGGACACCAAACAGCACUGCCAGCAUAGAGGGACUUCCUAAUCAUGUCCAUCAAGCUAUAGCAAAUGCUGUUUCAAGUUCAAGUCGUGGAGAGUCCAAGUCACCAGGUGUAAUUAGUUCAGACAAUCCUCAGCUCUCUGCCUUGUUGAUGGGAAAACCUAGUAAUAAUGGGGGUUCUGUGUCUUGUGAUAAAAUUAACAAUAUCCAUCCAGCUGUUCACUCAAAGACCGAGAAUUCAGUUGCCUCUUCACCAUCUUCAGCUGUUUCUACUGCAACUCCAUCUCCUAAAUCCACUGAACAAACUACUGCUAACAGUGUUACCAGCCUUAACAGCCCUCAGAGUGGACUGGGACAUACGGUCAAUGGAAAAGGUGUAGGGGAGGACUCUCAAAGUCCCUGUAAAAUGGACCCACCAUUAACUGCUCACAAACCUAGUCUUCAAGUUGCAUCUUCAGCCUCUGUCUCUAUAUACCCCAGUUCGUCAGAAGUGCUAAAGGCAUGCAGAAAUCUGGGGAGAAAUGGUUUAUCUAAUAGUAGCAUUUUACUCGAUAAGUGUCCACCUCCUCGACCACUACCACCACCAUAUCCACCGCUGCCAAAGGACAAGCUAAACCCUCCUACGCCUAGUAUUUACUUGGAGAACAAGCGUGAUGCUUUCUUUCCUCCACUUCAUCAAUUCUGUACAAACCCUAACAACCCUGUUACUGUAAUCCGUGGCCUUGCUGGGGCGCUCAAGCUAGAUUUAGGUCUUUUUUCCACCAAAACUUUGGUAGAAGCAAAUAGUGAACAUUUAGUAGAAGUGCGGACACAAUUGUUGCAGCCAGCAGAUGAAAACUGGGACUCCACUGGAACCAAGAAGAUCUGGCGCUGUGAGAGUAGUCGAUCUCACACCACAAUUGCCAAAUAUGCACAAUAUCAGGCCUCCUCAUUCCAGGAAUCAUUGCGGGAGGAAAACGAGAAAAAGAGCAGUCAUCACAAAGACCAGUCAGAUAAUGAAUCCACAUCCUCUGAUAAUGGUAGCAAAAAAAGGAGAGGUCCUUUCAAGGCCAUAAAAUUUGGGACCAACAUUGAUUUGUCAGAUGAGAAAAAGUGGAAAUCGCAGCUCCAUGAACUAACAAAAUUGCCUGCUUUUGUGCGUGUGGUAUCGGCAGGGAACCUGUUGAGCCAUGUAGGGCACACCAUUCUUGGAAUGAACACAGUCCAAUUGUACAUGAAAGUUCCAGGAAGCAGGACUCCAGGUCAUCAAGAAAACAACAAUUUCUGCUCUGUUAAUAUUAAUAUAGGUCCUGGAGAUUGUGAAUGGUUUGCUGUACCUGAAUCAUACUGGGCAGUUAUGAAUGACUUCUGUGAAAAGAACAACAUUAAUUUUUUGAUGGGCUCAUGGUGGCCAAACCUAGAGGACCUUUACGAGGCCAAUGUGCCAGUGUAUCGAUUUAUUCAGCGCCCUGGAGAUUUGGUAUGGAUAAAUGCUGGUACAGUGCAUUGGGUUCAAGCCAUUGGGUGGUGCAACAACAUUGCUUGGAAUGUCGGUCCUCUGACAGCAAAUCAAUAUAAACUAGCAGUGGAACGAUAUGAAUGGAAUAAACUACAGAGCGUGAAGUCUAUUGUUCCCAUGAUCCAUCUAUCCUGGAACAUGGCACGUAACAUCAAGGUGUCUGAUCCCAAGCUUUUUGAAAUGAUCAAAUACUGCUUGCUGAGAACCCUCAAGCAAUGUCAGAUGUUAAGAGAAACUCUCAUUAGCACAGGCAAAGAGAUUGUAUGGCAUGGCCGCACAAAGGAGGAGCCUGCACACUACUGCAGUAUUUGUGAGGUGGAAGUUUUUGAUCUGCUUUUUGUCACAAAUGAGAGUAACUCAAGGAAAACCUAUGUGGUGCAUUGCCAGGACUGUGCUCGUAAGGCCAAUGGAAAUCUUGACAAUUUUGUAGUGCUGGAACAGUACAAAAUGGAGGACCUGAUGCAAAUCUAUGACCAGUUCACAUUAGCUGAAUAAAUGGUUCUGACUGAACUAUGUAAAUCAGAGAGCAACCAGAUCCAAACUGCAAACUAAGUUAAUUGGUCUCAUUGAAAAUGGAUAGACAAGAAAAAAAAUCAACUGAUAUUCUUGCUUCUGAUCUCUGUACAAUAAUCUUUGACAUCACUGUUAAGGCGGAGAAAAAAGUGCUUGAUCAAGGCCCCUCCACUGCCUUCAUCCUCAUCUUGACACUUAUUGUUUUAUGGACAACUAGUGAAACAUCUUUGGUGUUCAGGAUGUGACGUCAACUUCCACUGUGUUACACCACUGAUAUUUGGCUAUCCCAUGUGGCUGCUGACUGAAAACUGUGUGUCUAUGCAACCUUCCAAGUGCGGAGUGUCAACAAUACUGGAUAGGAGUGGAGUUGCUUCUUUUCCAGGAUAAAUGGAUUAAUGUAAAGCUGUUUUAGCUGUACCUAUAAAUAACUUUUCAUAUUUUGUAUAUAUCAGAGAAAAACUGGCAACAUCACACAGACUACUGACUUGAAGACAUUCUUUUUUUUGUAUUACUCUGUCUUGGGCUGAUGAAUUGGUUUCAUCAUCUUUUUUCAUUCAGAUUUUUCCCUUUAAAAGUACUAGCUUAGCUGGUCAUUUUUGUAUGGUAGUUAGGAAUUUUAUGUCUCUCUUGAGGGCAACAUCUAUUAAGAAAAUUUUGUAAUGUGAAAAGUUAGGUGAGAGAGAAUUUUUUUUACCGCUUUUAUGUUCAUCUGUUUUGUUAUUUUGAAACCACGAUGUUUAAAUUUGUUCUGGUUUCCUAGUUAAACUAAACAGCCAAGUCACAGAUAAAUGGGUUGCACAUAGACUAAGGAAUAAACUUCAGAUUUGUGAUUUUUUUUUGUUUUGUUUCUAAUCUUGAUGUAAAUUUACACUAUUUAUAAAUGCAUAUUUAUUCCUUGAAAAUAUUUGUGGAUGGAAUGCUGUUAUUUUUCCCAGAAUACCUGCCAUUAAAAUUUUACGGAGUUCUGUCAUUUCAAACACUACUCCUAAUACGUUUUCUAUGUAU